UUAUUUGAGAGUUUGAUCCUGGCUCAGGAUGAACGCUGGCGGCGUGCCUAACACAUGCAAGUCGAACGAAGCACCUUUUAUGAUUCUUCGGAUGAAGGUCUGGUGACUGAGUGGCGGACGGGUGAGUAACGCGUGGGUAACCUGCCCUGUACAGGGGGAUAACAGUUGGAAACGGCUGCUAAUACCGCAUAAGCGCACGAGAGGACAUCCUCUUGUGUGA
rnacentral:rRNA from 1 species